rnacentral:rRNA from 1 species
UUAAGUGACUAAGCGUACAUGGUGGAUGCCUUGGCAGUCAGAGGCGAUGAAGGACGUACUAACCUGCGAUAAGCCGUGAGCAGUCGGUAAGAGACAUUACGACUCACGGAUUUCCGAAUGGGGAAACCCACUUAGCAUAAGCUAGGUAUCGCUACGUGAAUACAUAGCGUAGCGAGGCGAACCGGGAGAACUGAAACAUCUAAGUACCCCGAGGAAAAGAAAUCAACCGAGAUUCCCUCAGUAGCGGCGAGCGAACGGGGAUUAGCCCUUAAGCAUCUUGGAAGUUAGUGGAACGGUCCUGGAAAGGCCGGCGAUACAGGGUGAUAGCCCCGUACACGAAAACAACCUUGAUGUGAAAUCGAGUAGGGCGGGACACGUGACAUCCUGUCUGAAUAUGGGGGGACCAUCCUCCAAGGCUAAAUACUCCUGACUGACCGAUAGUGAACCAGUACCGUGAGGGAAAGGCGAAAAGAACCCCUGUGAGGGGAGUGAAAUAGAACCUGAAACCGUGUACGUACAAGCAGUGGGAGCCCUUCGGGGUGACUGCGUACCUUUUGUAUAAUGGGUCAGCGACUUACAUUUUGUAGCGAGGUUAACCGUAUAGGGGAGCCGUAGGGAAACCGAGUCUUAACUGGGCGUCUAGUUGCAAGGUGUAGACCCGAAACCGGGUGAUCUAGCCAUGGGCAGGUUGAAGGUUGAGUAACAUCAACUGGAGGACCGAACCCACUAACGUUGCAAAGUUAGGGGAUGACCUGUGGCUGGGGGUGAAAGGCCAAUCAAACUCGGAGAUAGCUGGUUCUCCCCGAAAGCUAUUUAGGUAGCGCCUCGGACGAAUACUACUGGGGGUAGAGCACUGUUUGGGCUAGGGGGUCAUCCCGACUUACCAACCCCAUGCAAACUCCGAAUACCAGUAAGUAAUAUCCGGGAGACACACGGCGGGUGCUAACGUCCGUCGUGAAGAGGGAAACAACCCAGACCGCCGGCUAAGGUCCCAAAGUUCUGGUUAAGUGGGAAACGAUGUGGGAAGGCUCAGACAGCUAGGAUGUUGGCUUAGAAGCAGCCAUCAUUUAAAGAAAGCGUAAUAGCUCACUAGUCGAGUCGGCCUGCGCGGAAGAUGUAACGGGGCUCAAACCAGGCACCGAAGCCGCGGAUUCACACUAAGUGUGAGUGGUAGGGGAGCGUUCUGUAAGUCUGCGAAGGUGUGUCGAGAGGCAUGCUGGAGAUAUCAGAAGUGCGAAUGCUGACGUAAGUAACGAUAAAGGGGGUGAAAAGCCUCCUCGCCGGAAGACCAAGGGUUCCUGUCCAACGUUAAUCGGGGCAGGGUGAGUCGACCCCUAAGGCGAGGCCGAAAGGCGUAGUCGAUGGGAAGCAGGUUAAUAUUCCUGCACGACUUGUAAUUGCGAUGGGGGACGGAGAAGGCUAGGUGGGCCAGGCGACGGUUGUCCUGGUGAAAGUGCGUAGGUGGUGUUUCUAGGCAAAUCCGGAGACACAACACUGAGAUACGAGACGAACACACUACGGUGUGGAAGCCAUUGAUGCCCUGCUUCCAGGAAAAGCCUCUAAGCUUCAGAUUACAAGUCAUCGUACCCCAAACCGACACAGGUGGUCGGGUAGAGAAUACCAAGGCGCUUGAGAGAACUCGGGUGAAGGAACUAGGCAAAAUAGAACCGUAACUUCGGGAGAAGGUUCGCUCUUGACAGUGAAGUCCCUUGCGGAUGGAGCAGUUGGGAGUCGCAGUGACCAGAUGGCUGGGACUGUUUAUCAAAAACACAGCACUCUGCAAACACGAAAGUGGACGUAUAGGGUGUGACACCUGCCCGGUGCCGGAAGGUUAAUUGAUGGGGUUAGCGCAAGCGAAGCUCUUGAUCGAAGCCCCGGUAAACGGCGGCCGUAACUAUAACGGUCCUAAGGUAGCGAAAUUCCUUGUCGGGUAAGUUCCGACCUGCACGAAUGGUGUAACCAUGGCCAUGCUGUCUCCACCCGAGACUCAGUGAAAUCGAAUUCGCCGUGAAGAUGCGGUGUACCCGCGGCUAGACGGAAAGACCCCGUGAACCUUUACUACAGCUUGGCACUGAACAUUGAACCUACAUGUGUAGGAUAGGUGGGAGGCUUUGAAGGCGUGACGCCAGUUGCGCUGGAGCCGUCCUUGAAAUACCACCCUUGUAUGUUUGAUGUUCUAACGCAGGCCCGUGAAUCCGGGUCGCGGACAGUGCCUGGUGGGUAGUUUGACUGGGGCGGUCUCCUCCCAAAGAGUAACGGAGGAGCACGAAGGUUGGCUAAUCCUGGUCGGACAUCAGGAGGUUAGUGCAAUGGCAUAAGCCAGCUUAACUGCGAGACGGACAGGUCGAGCAGGUACGAAAGUAGGUCAUAGUGAUCCGGUGGUUCUGAAUGGAAGGGCCAUCGCUCAACGGAUAAAAGGUACUCCGGGGAUAACAGGCUGAUACCGCCCAAGAGUUCAUAUCGACGGCGGUGUUUGGCACCUCGAUGUCGGCUCAUCACAUCCUGGGGCUGAAGUCGGUCCCAAGGGUAUGGCUGUUCGCCAUUUAAAGUGGUACGCGAGCUGGGUUCAGAACGUCGUGAGACAGUUCGGUCCCUAUCUGCCGUGGGCGUUGGAUGAUUGAAGGGAGUUGCUCCUAGUACGAGAGGACCGGAGUGAACGAACCUCUGGUGUUCGGGUUGUCACGCCAGUGGCACUGCCCGGUAGCUAAGUUCGGAAUCGAUAACCGCUGAAAGCAUCUAAGCGGGAAGCGAGCCCUGAGAUGAGUCAUCCCUGACCCCUUGAGGGUCCUAAAGGGCCGUUGGAGACCACAACGUUGAUAGGUGGGGUGUGUAAGCGCGGCGACGUGUUGAGCUAACCCAUACUAAUUACCCGUGAGGCUUAACC